GCAAUUAACAUUGUCAGCUCCUCUUAAAUGCAUUAGCGGAACUUUGUUAAGGACCAGCUUUGGUUUGAUAAAUCCUAUCUAUGCCGUCGCUGUGGACUUUGUGUUAUGUUCAGCUUCUAAUGGUCUUUGGACUGUCUCUUUAUUGAGGCAUACACUUUAAGCUUGACCUCAAAUCAGGUAGGACUACCCGCUGAACUUAA
rnacentral:misc_RNA from 1 species